rnacentral:rRNA from 1 species
AUUGAACGCUGGCGGCGUGCCUAACACAUGCAAGUCGAGCGGUAACAGGUGUAGCAAUACAUGCUGACGAGCGGCGAACGGGUGAGUAAUGCUUCGGAAUCUACCUUAUGGUGGGGAAUAACUAGCCGAAAGGUUAGCUAAUACCGCAUACGUCCUACGGGAGAAAGCAGGGGAUCGUAAGACCUUGCGCCAAAAGAUGAGCCGAAGUCGGAUUAGCUAGUUGGUAGGGUAACGGCCACCAAGGCGACGAUCCGUAGCUGGUCUGAGAGGACGACAGCCACACUGGGACUGAGACACGGCCCAGACUCCUACGGGAGGCAGCAGUGGGGAAUAUUGGACAAUGGGGGAAACCCGUGAUCCAGCGACGCCGCGUGUGUGAAGAAGGCC